UUAAAGUUUACUAUACUUGUUCUCUCCAGUUAUUUAAAAGUUUUUUAUGCUUAUUUUCUCUUCAAAUCUGUAACAGGGCUGAAUUGAUGAAAAAAUUAAACGGUGCUUACUUUCCUGAGGAGAAACUCUGCAAAUGGUUCACUCAAUUACUGUUGGCAGUGGAAUACCUGCAUUCAAAUUUUGUUUUACAUCGUGACCUAAAGUGUUCCAACAUCUUUCUUAUCAAGGAUCAGGAUGUUCGCCUAGGGGAUUUUGGGCUUGCUAAGAC